rnacentral:rRNA from 1 species
UACAGAGGUGGCAAGCGUUGUUCGGAAUUACUGGGCGUAAAGCGCGUGUAGGCGGUUGUCCAAGUUGGAUGUGAAAGCCUUGAGCUCAACUCAAGAAAUGCAUUCAGGACUGGAUGACUAGAGGACCGGAGAGGAUAGUGGAAUUCCCAGUGUAGUGGUGAAAUACGUAGAGAUUGGGAAGAACACCAGUGGCGAAGGCGGCUAUCUGGACGGUUUCUGACGCUAAGACGCGAAAGCGUGGGGAGCAAACAGG